AAACCGAUGAGCCACCCAGGGAUCCCCUACUAUGUUUUUAAAGGGUGACAGUUUCAUAAUGGAUUAGAGAGAAAAGAUGUCCUGGAGAAACUGCUCUAAACUCUGAGGAGGGUCAUCACCUUUGCCUGAAUCGACCAGUGUACAGUUCUGUACCCAUGCCCGUUAUGACCGUCUUUGAUUUGUUGACCAAUGUGGCUUACGUCAUCCACUUAUGCUGUCUCUCCUGAGUGGUGAUGCUGUGGCUGUGACACUUGGUAACAAGAUCCUAAGCCAUGUUCGGAGACUCAUUCCUACUACAGUGGCCGUGGCUUGUGCCAGCGAACUGAACUCCUCAACCAUUAUAACAUCCAGUUGAAUAAACCAGCUCAUUCAAAGUGACCUAACAGAUUCAUCCAAGGUCAUAUCAGUGAACAGUAGAGCUCAGGACUCACAACUCCUGACUCCAGUCCUAAUGGCUUUCCCAUCUGCUUGCCUCCUCUUCCUACUAAUGACUGAGACCUGCUUCUGUCCGGUGAGAGAUAGGAUUUGGCUCCCAUUUUUUUUUUUUUUUUUUGGCUCCCAUUUUUUCAUUUUCUCUUGAUUGUCUUUUAACAGUUGCACUAAAUCUCAGUGGGCAGCACUUGGUCCUAUCUGCUCUUUUCCCAUCCUUUUUCUUACUUCUAAUAAGCAACUAAAAAAAAAGAAAAAUAGCAAGUACAAGGGGAUUUCCAGUUCUUUUAUCUGGUUCCUAUUUGGUCUUUGAUUUUUCAGAAAAAAAAAAAAAAAACCUCUUAUGUGUACCAUCUCUUUUGCUUGUCCUCCACAGUUACAUUAGAAAUAUCAGGGAUC